GCGCAGAAUACUGUUUUUUAUUUUGUUUCCGGGGGGGGGGUUAGCGGGUUUUCCCAGGAAAAACAGUCAUAUCUGUAACUAUUUUUUCGUUUAAAAAAAUAAUAAAUCCUGUAAAUGCUAUUUAACUAGUGGUGGUCAGAGCGAGGCUUCGUGGAGCACUGAAACACCACGAAGUUGAAGAAAAUGUGCCGUAUUGUGUCGAGGCUUCUCAAACAGUGACACCUAGUGGUCACUUGCAGGUGUUGAUCUGAAACAACCUUGACAACGAGUCAGAUAAGCGUUGAAGAAUUAUAAUAUACAGUAUCUCACAAAAAUGAAGAUGAAAAGACUGCAUCAAUUAAAGCUCAGCUUUGGGAAGGGAAGCAACAGGGACAGGAUGAGACUGAGGGAAAAAGAAAAAGAGAAGAUGAUGGAGAUGAGAGAGGAAGAGCGGGUUCUACACACUGUGCCCAGAAUAUGAUUAGCAUUACGUUACUGUGAUGUUUAACACAAACAAAAACUUGUGGAUGUACAUGAACAAUUUUUUAAAAAUGUAUUAUUGUAUAUAUUUAUUAUCUUGGGUGCACGGUGGCUUAGUGGUUAGCACGUUUGCCUCACAUCUCCAGCUUCGGGGGUUCAAUUCCCACCGUGGCCGUGUGUGUGGAGUUUGCAUAUUCUCCCCGUGCUGCGAGGGUUUCCUCCGGGUACUCUGGUUUCCUCCCCCAGUCCAAAGACAUGCAUGGUAGGCUGAUUGGCGUGUCUAAAGUGUCCGUAGUGUAUGAAUGGGUGUGUGAGUGUGUAUGUGAUUGUGCCCUGCGAUUGAUUGGCACCCUGUCCAGGGUGUACCCCGCCUUGUGCCCCAUGCUCCCUGGGAUAGACUCCAGGUUUCUCUGUGAUCCUGAAAAGGAUAAAGUGGUAUAGAAGAUGGAUGGAUGUAUAUUGCUCUGUUUUUGUUCUUACAAUUGUAUACAACUCCCAUCGGGCAUCCAUAGUUCACUUUUACAAUUCUGUACAAACUACGCUUGCAGUUUUCUCUCUAGAUAAAUGCCUGUGUAACCUGUCCUGGUGUGAUAACAUGUUCUUUUAGACUUCUGCGGUUACAGAUUAGUCACAAUUAUUUAUUUAACUGCUUUUGCAGCAUUCAUACUCAGCACUUCAUGUAGAUGACUACACAACAGUACAACAUUUUAACUAAACUGAUGUGUUCUUAUACAGAUGUGUUCAGAGUCACAAGUUGAGCGUUGUGUUACUGCUUAUGCAUGUAUCUGUGCGGCUGGAAAAGGGCUGUGCAACCAUCUAACAGCUCUGCUGUAUCAGACGCCCACGAUGUGCAGCUUCGUCUAAAAUCUGUCCCACCAACAGUGGCCUGCACAAGUGAACCAGAGAGAUCUCAUCGUCCAAGGACACAGGUCCACUUCCAGAUCCACAUCCUGUCCUCCGGAGCAAAACUGAGCAGAUUCACCCACAGCCUUUGCUGGCACCUGUAUUAGAGGGCAUAUCCAAAAUAUAGUCUGUACCCUUACAGUUAGGUCCUGUACCUUGUGGCAGUCCACUAUCCACCCAUGGCUGCAGAUUUCCCCGAUGUAAAUUUCCCCAGUCCACCCGUACGUGGUAGUCAGUUUAUUACUAAUCUUAAUUUUGUUCCUACUCACCAUCAAUCCCUUCAUCUGGAGUCUAUAAAGGUGUCCCACAACUUAUCUUGUCAGAUUGAACAGGGUACUAGACUACAGUCAAAAUGUGCUGCCUGGCCACAAGUACGUCAACCAAGGGUCACUGCAAGUAGGUUCCGGGAGGUGCUUGGGGAAUCAGCUAGCCAGUCAUUAGCAGCACGAAUUGUAAAGGGCACAAAACAGACAAGUGCUAUGAAACAUGGACUUGAACUUGAGCCAGAUAUUUUGAAAAAAAUAUUCUGAAACAGCCAAUGUUAGUCUUCUACCUUGUGGUUUUGUUGUUCACACAGAUGCACCACAUCUGGGAGUCAGUCCAGAUGAGAGAGUAUACGAUCCAUCUGAAAUCUUCCUAUUCGGGCUGGUGGAAGUAAAAAAGCAGGUCUGCUGGCAGUAUAGGUCAGGCUUCAUUUAUUUAAAUCCAUAAGGGUCAAGCCAAACUCAAAGAAACUCAGAAAGACUACUGGCAGGUUCAAGGCCAGCGUGCAGUGAGUGCUCUGCAGUGGUGUGACUUUGUGACAGACACAAAAUCAGACAUUACUGUACAGAGGAUAUGGCGAGAUGAUGCUAUACAUCUAUUACUAUGAUGUUUACACAGAAAUCUAACUUUCUGUGGUAUGAACACCUGACAUUUCACAUUUGGAUGUACAUGAACCAUUUUUUACUGUAAUAUUGUAUAUAUUUAUUAUCUUUGUGUAUAUAUAGUAACUGAAUAUAUAUUGCUCUGUGUUUGUUCAUAGUUAAAUUUGACAAUUCUGUGCAAAUCUAGAAAUCUAAAAUUCAAAUGUGUGAACUAACAACUGGACAACAGAACAAUGGUUUGACAUAAAUCAUUUUACAAUGAAUGAUUUCCAUUCCACUCAAUACUUCUGAGCUCAGAGCAAUGCAGAGAUUACUUGACCAAUCACUUGGUGUAUGUGCUACAUAGCGUGCUAAUCUCUAUCUCCUUUGCUUUACCGCUUCACCCCCCCCCCCCCAAUAUAUACAUGUUUCAGUUGACCACAAACAGCACUUUCUGUACUGCUAUACUUUUUUUCUCACACAAUGUCCUGCACUCUUUCUCUCUCUCUCACAUGUUCAGUCUUGUUCAUGAAAAUAGUUUUCAGUUUUCUAACUUGAACGACAUUCAUUUCUUAUUAAAACUACCUUUAAAGAUAAAAGAGAAUAUUGUUCUUUAGCACUUCACACUACAAAGACAUUCAGAGGAAUAAAGAA